GAGAACGGCCUGCAUUUUCUGUGAGCAGUGAUUCUUUAUUUUAUGUAAAGGAUCGCUUUCUCCGUGUAUAUGAGUAUUCAACCCAGAAGGACACACAGUUGAUACCAAUUAGAAGGCCCGGCUCAAACAAUGUGAAUCAAGGUCCACGAACUCUUUCAUAUAGUCCAACGGAAAAUGCUGUCUUGAUAUGUUCAGACACAGAUGGUGGUUCCUAUGAACUUUACAUUGUACCCAAAGAUAGUCAUGGUAGGGGUGAUACUGUUCAAG
rnacentral:misc_RNA from 1 species